rnacentral:rRNA from 1 species
AUACGGAGGGGGUUAGCGUUGUUCGGAAUUACUGGGCGUAAAGCGCACGUAGGCGGACUGGAAAGUUGGGGGUGAAAUCCCGGGGCUCAACCCCGGAACUUCCUCCAAAACUUCCAAUCUAGAGAUCGAGAGAGGUGAGUGGAAUUCCAAGUGUAGAGGUGAAAUUCGUAGAUAUUUGGAGGAACACCAGUGGCGAAGGCGGCUCACUGGCUCGAUACUGACGCUGAGGUGCGAAAGCGUGGGGAGCAAACAGGAUUAGAAACCCUAUAGUCC